UAUCUUAGAGAAAUAUCCUAACCAUUAUAUGAUAAUUAACUAAAAUAAUUAGAUUGACUUGCUAGGCGUCACCUAGUUCUCAUUCAACCUUCAUUCAAGUUCACAAUAGGACAACAAUCACUCAACUCACUAGAACUCAACUAUCAUAAUGCUUGGCAAUCCGUUGACUCACAUAACCAGGUGAAGGGUGCAUAGUUGAGUUAUGCAUGACACAC
rnacentral:lncRNA from 1 species